GAAGUGAAUGUAACUCAAAAAUUCAAAACAGUUUCAGGUUUUUCUGUACAUUUAAUGAUUUAUUGCAGCCUUUGUUCUUCAUCUGUAGAAAACUUAAAUAGGAAUCGCCUGUCACACUGCAGCCACAGUUUCACACACAGAUUGCGCAACUGCGCAUUUUGCCAUUGAAAUUGCUUGUGCGACAAUUGGUGCGUAGUUUUAAGACCCCCUACCAUAUGCUUAGCCUUAAUAGGUAGACAGCUAAAAUCUAUCUAUCUGGAGUAGCAGAAUAACUGAUGAAACAGAGACUGAAGCUGUCAUUCUAGUGCUAACUAUAGUAUUAAACAUACCAUGGCAUAUGUAGCAUACUGCUAGCCGAGUGCUAGCCAUAAUUGUUUUAGGCCCAUAAGCUAGCAGAACAUUAAAUUUAAAUAAAAAACAACAACCCACAAACAUUAUGUUAGUUGUAAGUUUGUUGUACAGGUAGGUGCUCAAAUCUACACAGUGCUCCUUGUCUGCGCAUGCGCAUAUCUGCGCAAUUUUAAUAAAAGAAGACCUGCAACAACCACAAACUUUACACCUGCAAUAUAUUAUAGAUCUAGACAGAUAUUGAAAAAUCCAAGUCAAAGUGGUGGAAAAAUAUUGAAUUUCAGGCAUUUCAUGUAACAGCCUCAAAAUGCAGUCUUUCUCAUACAAAUCCCUGAAUUGUGUGUAAAGUGAAUGGGUGUGCGCCAUUGUUUAGUUCAAUCAAAAUGACUGGCUGUGGGGUUUUUCAAAGAAGAUCAUAUAUUUCUCUCAAAUUGUUAUGAGAUUUUUGGCACAUUUACUUUCAAGAAUAUAAGGAACCUUAUCAACUUAGAAUUUUAUCGGAUUUGAAAUGAAUUCACGCUCAAUAUUAGGUUAAGGUUAGAUGCGCUGACAUGCCCCACCCCCAGGACACGAUGGAAUUUACAAUGAAUAAAGAAAGUUCUAUGUGCGAUUGUCCCGUUUUAGUUAUGGGGGGAACAGGGGUAAGGAUGGGUGAUCUGUUGUCCAGACAGUCUAGCAGAUGAAAUCAUAUUUUGUUUUGGAUUUCCGCAACAUUGGUGCAUUCAAUACUAAAAUAAUUUAGAAUAUUUGUGCUUUGUAAUUUUGUCUGAUAUUACUUUCAAUUCUUAAAUAAAUGUUAAUCUCAAAGUUCCUGAAAUUACCGUCUUGUCCGUACAAAUUACCUAUCCGGACACACAACAAUGGGGUAUACUGAACAAUGAGUUUGAAUUUCAUAUCUUUGUUUUUGGCAUAGCCACUGGUCAAGGAAUGACAAAAUCUAUUGAACAUCGAGAUAAAAACAAAGAGCAAUUUUAACUCAUUAAAUGGUUGUGUAGCAAUUAGCAACAAGAUGUAAAACAAUACACACCAAAAGUGAGGUAAUAUUAGACAAGGCUCCAUAUAAACUCUUUUUUUUUGUGAUGGCCUGAAUGCCACCGAAUAAACGUAUGGUGCCCUUAUAUAUGGAAUAAAUAUUUAACAAGUUGUGACUACUUUGAUCCUUAUAUUUGCUUCCCAGGCAAGCAAUAAUCAUUUUCGUCCAAAUUUCUUCUUUAAAUUUGAUAUGAAGGUAACUGUUGGAAGAGGGAUGGAUGUGAGCAUUCAGUUGCUAGCGUCACAGAACAAUCUAUUCCUCUCAAGAAAGCACUGUACAUUCAAACAAGUGGAAGGUGGAGGAUGGACAGUGAUUGAUAACAAGAGCCUGAAUGGUGUUCAGAUUAAUGACAAUCGGGUAAAACCAAUGGAGCCGGCAAACCUGAGAAUUGGAGAUAAAUUAGAGUUGGGUCAGGCAAACAAAGGACAAGUGAAUGAGUUUAUCUUCACAGUGUGCUGCAUAGACCAUUCCGCAGAGGAAGUGGACAAACUCCUGAGAGCUUGGAAGAGGAGGGCCGAAAAAAUCAAGCUCAAGUUGGCGGCAAAAUCUUCUCAACCCAUGGACAGCGAAAAUAGUGUAAAGUCAGAUUCUCAGUCGGGUAGUCUUGGCUGUUCAUCAUCGGGUGAUAGAAAACGAAAAGAAAGAGAUGAACAGAAUGUUAGAAGUAGUGCAUUCAAUGAACCUUCCACCUCAUCUGAUGUAAAGAGGACUAGACUUUCUCUUGAUGGUAAUCUUAAGAACUCUGGAUUUAGGCAGCUCAUGGAGGAGGUAGGGGCCAACAUGACAGCUGAAGAAUUGAAAGCAAUAACAGAACUCUUAGCAGAGAAGAAAGGAGAGAACAAAGGAGAGAGUGUACUUGAAAGACUUCGAUCGACUGUGAAGAAGCAGGAGGAAGUGGAGGAGAAGAAUGCCAAGCUUGAGGUUGAAUACAAGACCAGGGUGGAGGAGAAGGAAGAGGAACUGAGGCAAAAGGACAAAGAGCUUGUAGAGCAAAAAAGACUUCAAGAAGAAGCAGUAGAAAUGCAAAAGAGACUCUUAGAGGAGAAGGAAGAAGCAUUGGCAAAGAUGAAAUGUGAGAUGGAGGAGGUGUUGGAAAAGCAGGUCAAGGAGAAAGAGACAGCUCUAAUGGAACAGCUCAAACAACAGAGAGAAGAACUCAAACAUGAGAAAGAAAAGGUUGACAAUAGUCUUCAGGAGUUCAGCAAACAGUUGGCUGAGAAGGACAGGAGCAUGAAGGAAGAGCAAGAGGAAAUGCAAAGAAAAUUAGAAGAAGCUAUCAGAGAGAAAGAGGCACAGAUGUUGGCUCAGCUGGAAGCAGAGAAACAAGCUCUGAUUGAUGAGAAACAGAAAGUUGAAGAAAAGCUGCAAACAGCAUUAGAGAAGGACAAGGGGCUGGAGGAAGAGAAACAAAGAUUAGAUGACAUCAUUCAGCAAAAAGAAAAAGAAAAGACAGAUAUGGAAGAUGAGAUGGAAGCUAGCCGCUUAGAACGAGAGGAAGAAGAGAAAGUGAAGAUAGAAAAUGCAAAAAGGGCUGCUCUUGAUGACUUUACCAAUGUCAUGGAGAAUGAAUUCCAAUGCAGUAUUUGUUCAGAACUCUUCAUUCAGGCGACAACUCUGAACUGUUCUCAUUCUUUCUGUGCAUACUGCAUACACACAUGGUUUAAGCGGAAGAAUGAAUGCCCGAAUUGCCGUGUCAAGACCACCUCACACAGUCGCUCCAUUGUCCUUGAUAACUACAUUGACAAGAUGAUUGAGAAGUUAGGAGACGAAGCCAAACAAAGACGAAAGGAGAUAGUUGAAGAGAGGAAGGGUGAAUGAACUUUAAGUCAUUAUGGACAGUGUUUAUAAACAUCUGAUUGAACAUAAGAUUGAAAGUGAGGAUCCAAACUAUAGCACCAGGCCCAAUGCUGGCGUCACCACUGUUAAUUCUGUCCCUGUUGUCAUCUCUGAUGAGGAGGAUGAAGACGAGGAUGAAGAGGAUGAAGAAAUUGAGUACUACGACAGAUUUGAUCGGUUUGGUCGCCAUGGCAUGCGCCGGUACUAUCAUACUUCCGACGAGGAGUUAGACUCAGAAAAUGAGGAUGAUGAAUACUACUAACAAAGUACCUAAUCCUCACUCCAUAUAGAUCAUCAUGAUUUGCUACUUUUUAUUUCAAGAGAACUGUGAUGGAAUCAUAAAACGGCAACCAUCUUUUUGCUGUUGCAUUUUAUUUAUAUGCACAAAAUUUUAAAGGCUAAAAAAAUUAUUUUCAUAUUUUGUUUACCAAAGUGCCUCGAUAGAGAUUGAUGUCAGUUGUACACAGUCUUCUCUCUUCUCCCCAUUCCCGGAUCGCACUCUAAGAAGCGUGGGGGGGGGUCUUAUAUUGAUUGAAAAAAGGUUAUUGCACAUAUAUUGAUAAUAUAGUAAUAAUAUCCAAGUCCUUUGGAAGCGCAUAGAGACAUUAUUCAUAAUUGUGAUAUCCGCUAUACAAGAACUGUAUAUUAUUAUUAUUAUUAUUAUAUUGACUAGCCUUGAGGAGAACAUCAAAUGUGUCGCCUGUAACAGAAUCAUAUUGGCCCGAGUCUUUUCUGGAAGAAGAGCCAGUCAAUAUUAUUAUUACCUAAGGCUGUACAAUGUGUAACUCAAGCUAUUAUUUAGAACAAUUUAUACAUGUAUGCCUGUUUGCUUAUCACUCCUGAUUUCAGGUUAUUCACGAACAAUAGCGAAGUAACCCUUGCUAAGCAAUUGUGACGUAAAUUGUUACCUUGCAGUCGCGCAUCAUCCAUGGCGCACACAUGUACACUUAACGCAUAGAAAUCUUGCGCUUGAUUUUGUGUAUGCACUAAAGAUGCACUGACCACGCCGCGCAUUAUCUACAAUGCGUUGGUUCAUAAACUGGUUCCAGCCAGAUUUCUAAAAUACUGAACUUAGCGAUCAAAAUCGGCUCCUACUGCACAAGCUCACUAGUGGAAAUAUGGCCAAUAUUGCCCUCUGUUUUUGUACAGGAUUCCUCUUGGCAAAGCCCGGGGAGGGCAACAUGACAAAUGUUUACCUCGUUGGUCUCGGAUUGAAAGUAGCGAGCGAAAUAUGAUAUUUAUUUAUCUGCUAAAAUGCCUUUUAAAGGUAAUGUCAAAUAUUAUUCUUGUGUGAAAUAUUUCUUCUAAUCUUUUUUUCAAUUGCUUUCGAAAAUUCUGUCUUGAAGCAAGGCGUCUCGGUCUACAACAUGUAUUGCAAUGUGUAGAUUUGAUUUUUACUCGUUUCUUUCAACUUUAAAAUUGAAAUACCCUUAGCCCCUUUCGCCCUCCAUAUCAUGUAUUGAUUCAAUCAUUUUUGAGAUAAUGAAAAAUAAAAUAAUAGCAAUGAAUUAGUCUUGUAGUGAUCAAAAUAGUAUCAUCAACCCUAAUGGCAUCCAAUGAUUUAUUGUCUUUCUUUGAUAAUUGUAUCCACAGUCUUCUGCUGCUCUGUUUCUUAUAGUAUUGAAUAGGCCAGAAUUUCUACUUCCAUCACAAAAUAAGGUGUGCCAAGUAUUUUGGGGUUUAUGAUCAAUGUUUAUGUCAUAUUUGCUCCAAUGCAAGUUGAAAUCCUAACUCUGAUACCUGAACCACACAUUUUUAGUGGCAUUUUCAUAGCAUUCUAUACAAGUGUGGAUUGAAAUUUGUGUUACUUAAUAAUAAUAAUAUACAGUUCUUGUAUAGCGCAUAUCACAAUAAUGAAUAAUGUCUCUAUGCGCUUCCAAAAGACUUGGAUAUUAUUACCCCAGCUAUAGCUUGGCAGCCGUAAUUACUAAGAUUACAGCGCUCACGCAUUUCAAGGAAUAAAUUCCUGCCAGGCACCCAUUCACCUUACCUGGGUUGAGUGCAGCACAAUGUGAAUAAAUUUCUUGCUGAAGGAAAUUACGCCAUGCCAUGGCUGGGAUUUGAACCCACGACCCUGUUUUAAAGUCCGGAGACUAAUCCGCACAAUCCACAACGCUCCACAGCGUUAAGUCUUGAGUGUAAUUAUCAGAAUACCAAUGAAUAAACAAAAGAAUACCAACCAGAAAUUUUUAAAUAGUACUCCUGCAAUCAUAUUGGAAUAAAGCAUUGUUGAUUGGUUGUUAAACGUGUUUUAGAAUUAUGGCAGUAGUAGCAUUGCCUGAAAACAGUAUAUUCCUGUAGAGAACACUUGAAGGCAAAGGAAACUUGCUACUUUAUAUCAUAAACUCCAAAAUAUAGCAAUUUCUUAGCUUUAUUCAAAAUCUUUAAAUUGUGAGAUAUAAAGGUUUUACAAACUUUUGACAACAAACUUCAAAUCACCCACAAUGAUGAUUGAGUGUAAUGCUCUUUAACGGGAGAUGAAUGAUGAAUGAAUAUCUUCACAAACUGAUAGCUGUCCUUUCAUGCCUGUUGUAUUAGAUGGUAGUUGUGGCCAUUUUGCUCCCUAAAAAACUUCUCCCAUUGGUAAAAAGGUUCGGGUUUUUUUAAGGACAUCGUGAGGUCUGACUGGUUUGGAAACUUGAUCUUUUGAAGCCAACAUUCAAUAAUUUUCCUGAUAAUGUGCAUUGUACAGUUUCAAAAUUCAGAUGAGGCAGUAAGACCCAUAACUGCUCUCCAUCUUAGUGGUAUUUUUUUCCUUCUUGUGAAUCUUCUCAUUGCUAAGAGCAUAUGUAUUAUUUGCAAUAUCAAUACAUACUUGCUGAUCCUGAGAAAUGUAACAGUCAUUACUCUCAUUGAAUUUACCAUGUCAAUACACAAUCAUCUGGACUUGCUAGAGUACAUUUUCCAGCCUUGGCAAGUAUGUGCUUGAUGGGUUUCAUGAUUGUGAGAUCUAAUUAUCAACAUAUCAUUGAAUCAGUUUUUUUCAGAAGAUGACCUGAAAUAAGUACUUUAACAUUAAUUCACACUGACUCAUAGCUCCCAUCAGAGCUUUAUUCAUUAAAUUUCAUAUCAAUCUGUCGUUACAAAAGACAUCCAUACAAAUGUUUUGAAAUUAAAUAAUCUGAGAAUAGUUUAUUUACAUAUAACUCCUUGGUGUUAAUUGCUGGUAUUACAAUAAUUGUAUUUUUUGGUUAUGAAUGAGCUUUAAGUGAAUUAUUCACCUUUCUUGAAGGGUGAAUUAUUUGUUUUGUAUCGAUCCCAUACCUUGAUGUAAAUAGUCAGUUUGCCAAUGUUUUCAUUAUUUGUAUCCUAUUGUACAAAUACAAAUACUGUUCUUGAAUAAAGCCAGUAUCUUCAAAUAUUA